rnacentral:lncRNA from 1 species
AUGCAUCUUUGCUUUAAAAAAACAUUGUGGUCUUACACAUGUAACUGUCAUGGAAUCCACAGAAGCUGUAAUGCAUGGAACAGCAUAAUAAAAUACAUCUGCGAGAUACCUUUUCAUAAUCCUGUGUUGGCAGCAUCCCUUACUGGUCUAGGUAGUGCUGGACUACCUGGAACGUUUGGCAUUCCUGCUGGAGUACCAGCAACUGGUACUGGAGUUGGACUCGGAAGAGGACUUGUCCCCGGAGCUGCAGGGGUUCAAGAAGUUGUAGGAAUCCCAGGGGUUGCAUAUGGAGGUCAGCCUAUAGUUGUGCCGGGGACAGUGGAAGGAGCAGGGCAAGUCAGAAUGCCUGGUGGCAUCCCGGAAGGAGUGGGAAGGGGAGUUCCAGGAGUACAGAUUGUCCCAACUGGGAAGCCAGAAAUGGGACCAACACUGGCACCUGGAAGCGCUCAGAUGCCAGAUCUGCAUUUAAGUAAGGAUAAGCAAGCACAGAUACACUGAAUUAGCAUUUUUAAUCAACAGGCAUCAGCUGACAUCCUGACACUACAACGCUCUAAAGUUUAGGUUUAAUUUUCAAUCACCAUGUAUCUGCAGCAGCCACUUCUUACACGUUUGC